GUUGAAGGUUGGGUAACACUAACUGGAGGACCGAACCGACUAAUGUUGAAAAAUUAGCGGAUGACCUGUGGCUGGGGGUGAAAGGCCAAUCAAACCGGGAGAUAGCUGGUUCUCCCCGAAAGCUAUUUAGGUAGCGCCUCGUGAAUUCAUCUCCGGGGGUAGAGCACUGUUUCGGCUAGGGGGCCAUCCCGGCUUACCAACCCGAUGCAAACUGCGAAUACCGGAGAAUGUUAUCACGGGAGACACACGGCGGGUGCUAACGUCCGUCGUGAAGAGGGAAACAACCCAGACCGCCAGCUAAGGUCCCAAAGUCAUGGUUAAGUGGGAAACGAUGUGGGAAGGCCCAGACAGCCAGGAUGUUGGCUUAGAAGCAGCCAUCAUUUAAAGAAAGCGUAAUAGCUCACUGGUCGAGUCGGCCUGCGCGGAAGAUGUAACGGGGCUAAACCAUGCACCGAAGCUGCGGCAGCGAACGUAUCACCCAAGACAACUUUACGGAGUUGACGAUUGACGGAGCGAAGCGACGUCAAAGCGUUCAUUAAAGUCGAGUUGGCUUAGGGAUACGUUCGUUGGGUAGGGGAGCGUUCUGUAAGCCUGUGAAGGUGUGUCGUGAGGCAUGCUGGAGGUAUCAGAAGUGCGAAUGCUGACAUAAGUAACGAUAAAGC
rnacentral:rRNA from 1 species